rnacentral:rRNA from 1 species
UACGGAGGAUGCGAGCGUUAUCCGGAUUUAUUGGGUUUAAAGGGUGCGUAGGCGGUCCGUUAAGUCAGCGGUAAAAUUGCGGGGCUCAACCCCGCUCCGCCGUUGAAACUGUGUCCCUUGAGUGCGCGAAGGGUAGGCGGAAUGCGUGGUGUAGCGGUGAAAUGCAUAGAUAUCGCGCAGAACUCCGAUUGCGAAGGCAGCAUACCGGCGCCCAACUGACGCUGAGGCACGAAAGCGUGGGUAUCGAACAGG